CAGGCAGCGUUCCUGGGCGUUCGGGACACUGCACUCGGCCGAAAGGGUGCAAACAUGUUGGAUAAGAUGCGGUUUAACUCUUUAAAUAAUUUAAAUGUGCAUUGGCGGAAAGCUCACUCUCUCCUUAAUUGUCCCCGGCCUCCGGGAGCCACGGAGAGCCUUAAACUGGCGGGCAGAGCGAGUGCGGUGCGUGGCUUCGCGGGGAGUGGUGUCCGCCCCUCCCCUGUCCCGCCCCGCCCCCGGGACUCUCCCGCACCCCGCGACGGUGGGGCCACCCCACCUGGGAGACGCUGGCAGCGGGGAAGUCAGAUGGCGUAUCUUUUAUUUAAUUCUCUUGUCGGGUUGCAGAGAAGUGGUUGAAACCGAGGGGGGACGCGGCGCACUUUACUUCGAGCCUUUUAGGGAUGACUAAGGACUCAUUUAACUGGAUGCCUGCUACUUUUUUGGGCUUGCCAAGAGGGCUCCCCAGAGUGAUGUGGAAUGGCAUUUCAUAACCCAACUUGCUUCAUCCAACAUAGAUGUACAACUAGGCCUGAGUGGGGCUUGCACAGGUAACUGUUUCUCUACCCUUUUUCCAUAAUUGUCCCCUCCAUUACUGAUCCUCCUGCCUCAGCCUCCAGAGUAGCUGGGAUUAUGGGUGUGUGCCACCACACUCGGCUAAUUUUUUGCAUUUUUAGUAGAGACAGGGUUUCACCAUGUUGGCCGGGCUAGUCUCGAACUCCUGACUUCAAGUGAUCUGCUCACCUCGGCCUCACAAAGUUCUGGGAUUACAGGUGUGAGCCACUGCGCCUGGCCUCCCCCAUUACAUUUUAAUUCCACAGAUACACUUGAGCUGUUUAUGGACUAUGCCCCAUUCCGAAGGCGACAAAUCGUUGUAAUAGCUAAGACUUUUUUCACCUGUCACAGAACCAAUUUUUGCCCCCUGGGAGAUGAUACUGCCUCACCCCACUCAGCAAUAGGAGUGAUAUCAAGUAUCCUGUUAGGGAAGAAUAACAAUCUAUGCAAAAGGCUGCAUACACAUGGCUUCUAGCUAUAGAGGAUGGGUUUCUAAGGCUGCAAGGGUUUGCUAUAGGGUUUGUUUCUGGGUUUUAGACAAGAGGGUAAAACUCCCUUGAAUCAAGUGAAAGAUGCCCAGACUGUUCUUCAGCCCCCAGCCCAAGCUCUCUGCAGAAAUCUGACCCUGGGGCUGGAGGCUGUUAGGACCCUAUAGCUCUUAUUGCUAGUCACAAGGUAGGAGCCACCCAGUUGCCUUUCUUUCCUCAUUUCCCAUUUGUCCUGUGUCAUCCUCCAUCUAUCUGCCCUAGCAAAGACAGUCGGGGGGCCUCUGAGAAUCUUCUGCUGGCAAGAUUACAGUUUCACGAUAGAAAACAUAAGUGGAGUCAAAUUACAGAGUACGCACACUGUUUCCCUUGAUUUUCCUCUCACAUCUUCUGUGCGUGGUGAGAAGAGAGAGGGGAGGGGUAUAAGUGGGUUCCUGGGUGAGAGAGGGAGGUACCAGAGUAAAUACAGUGCCACUUGGAUGGUGACACCCCAUUACCUUCAGACACAAAGAUGUAAGCUGAGGGAAAUGAAUUCUUGGAUUCAGGGAAAUGAAUUCUUGGAUUCUGAACAUGAGGGUCAGAUUUACAUUCCUGUCUCAAUUGUUGACGCUUAUCCCAAGGACUAGUCAUUCUGCAACAUCUGUGGGAAAUUCCCAGAUUGAACUUCCCAGGGAGAAACAUCAUAUGACAUAUUGGGAAAAUGGCUGACAAUGGUUUUCCUUAGUAAGUUCAUUGAGAAGAAAAGUGGGCGGAUGAUUUCCCAGUCUUCACUCUUUCAGAAGCCCCUAAAACAAUCUGACAUGCUCUAGUUGGAGCCUGCUUUCUAUCCCAUCAGUUUGAUUUCUGAAUGCCUUAUGAUCAUUAGCAUUCUUCAUUAAAAAAAAAAAAAGCUUUGUCGCAUUUGUUAGUCUUGACUUCCAAAUCUUCCGUGUUCUUUUUUUUUUUUUCUCUCUCUCUCUCUCUUUCCCUUUGGCUGUUCUCAGGCUUGGAGAAAAAGCUUGUAGCAUGCCAUUCCUUCCUCCACUGCUAGAAUCCUCCCCCACAUCCGACCCUCCCACCUUUUCCUAAUGUUUCUCCAGCAAGCCCAGCGCCCACUGAAGAGCGUAAAUUAGUGCCUAGUAAUUGGUACAAAGGCACUUUCUGUUUCUAUGCAACACACGCAGAAAGGAGGGGCAAAAGGAAGACGAAGAAAAAAACCCCACAGAUGGUUAAAAAGGGAAAGAAGUGAGAUCCUCUUUCAGUGGUCUUUGAGCAAUCCUGGCUCUCUUUCUCCGCCCCACUUUUUGUUGAAAGUUAGUCACAGGCCUAGGCCUAACUCAGAGCACUUGGUGGCAGCAGUUGUUAGUAUCAAAAGAAUAGCACUUGGAGGUUGGAAGUGACCUUGGGAGGUCAUCACAUCCAUCAUUUUGUCUUUAAGAAAGCACAUCCCCACCCUUUCUCAGAGAGAUGGGGAUUGUUCUCUUGAAAUGUUUUGGGGGGACUUGAAGGGCUUUGAAGCACACCACCAGGUUUCAAAAGCUGCCUAUCUGCCUUGACUAGCAUGUGAGUGGUCAUACUGUGUAAUCUCCCAGAGCCUCACCAGCUCAUGAGGGUACUAGGUAGUUGGAAGCAUUUGUCAGCAGAAAAUGCUAAAGCCCCUAGCUUCAAGCUUGGCUCUGCGGGUGCCUAGGAAUUUUUCCUUCAUUUUGAAUUCUUUGCAGUACUUUCAUUUGAAUUCUUUCCCCCCACUUGCUCUCCUGGGACUUCAGUCUAUGGUUAACAUUUUUCUUUUUCACCUUAGUUUAAAGGGCUGCUUCAUGGAAUUAACCAAGUGAAAGGGCAGAGGUGGAGUGAGCUGGGGUGGCCUAUGCCCUUUUUAUGGGAGCAGCACUCUCUUUAACAGCCCAAGGCAGAGCUGCUGAGAGGUUUCCUACCACUCCCUACCUGGAAUCGUCCUGAAACUUUAAUACCUUUUUGAUGCAUUAAGGCCACGAGUAAACAUUUGUUUUAUCCCAGUGUCAAGCAGUCCCCUCAGCAAAUAAUAGGACUAACAUUAUUAUUCAUAAGAAUGUGAUCCCCCCUGAGGGAGUGAGAAGCACCCAUUUUUUUUUUAAAUACAUGGGACCUUCCAAGGCCAUUCAUUGCCAUGUGUGUCCAAAGCCUUUUUGAUGGUGUGCCCGAAGCCUUCUCUUUUAAUCUCAGUUUCUAGUGUGGUAUAAUUGACUUUGGAAUCCUGAGAUGAGAAUUGAAGAACCUGGAUCUGAAAUCUAAAGGUUCUAGAGCUGAGAGAACCAGUUUGCUCACGAUCUAAGCCAGAGCUGCUGCUGCUGGGCCUUUGAAUUUGUUUAUUUUUUAAUGAAACUGAGAAUGAUCACAAAUUUGAACAGGAGAAAGGAAUCUAGGAGAAUUUGAACAGGAGAAAGGCCAAUCCUUAACUGGCCAGAUUGAGUCUUUUUAAAAAGUGAGGACAUUUAUUUAAAUAGAUUAAAGUAAGAGACGGGAGCUUAAGCCAUACAAAAUUAGUGACAAGGAUUUGAAAUGCAGUCAGUGGUGUUAUGUAUUCAAUGAAGUUUGAACAUUUUUCCAAGCUGAGCCUCCGUCCUUGUGGAAGGGAGUAUCUCCCAAAGGGCCUGACUUGAACCAAAGUGGGAACCAGUGGAAUAGGCAAUGGUCAAAAACACAAAAGUCUCUCUUGGGAGUUUUGGACAUUUUAGAACCGGGAGCAAAAUUACAGAUCAUCUUGGCCCAAAGAAAUAGAGGGAGAAGAAAAUGUUUCACCAUCUCUGUCUUCCAGAGAGCUAGCUUUCAUAAGACAGGCAGUUAGAAAUGAAGAGUAAGGCCUGACCUAUUUCAUAUUGAACAGUCAAACUGAGGAACUGGAAUGUGAGGGGGCCUUUACCUUCAGUACAGAGACAGUAGAUAGAGUCGUCAGAGCACAGGCUUUUGGGUCCUUCUGACAUGGGUUUUUGAAUCCUGUCUCCACCAUUCUAUUUAUGACAACUCAGGCUCUACUUACCUUCUCUGAGCCUCAGGUUUCUCAUCUGUAAAAUGGAGCUCAGUAAUUAUAUAUUUAUGAAGUUGUUAUGAAGCUUAAUUCAGAUGAGGUGUUUAAAUCAUUUAGCACACCAUUAUAAUUAAAAAUAAAGAAUUUAUGUGUGUGUUCCAGAAGCCCUUGAUUCCUAGAAUUUUUGUUUAGAAUUCCAGAUUAGUCCAGCACUGCCUCAUUCACUUCAAUUAUUUAUUAUUAUUAUUAUUAUGAUUUUGAGACUGAGUCUCACUCUGUCACCGAGGCUGGAGUGCAGUGGCAUGAAGGAUCUUGGCUCACUGCAACCUCUGCACUCUCCCCGCCUACUUCCCCCUACCCCCUACUCAAGCAAUCCUCCCACCUCAGCCUCCCAAGUAACUGGGACCACAGAUGCACACCAUUUUUUGUAGAGGCUGGGUUUCACUAUGUUGCCCAGGCUGGUCUCAAACUCCUGAGCUCAAACCAUUUGCCUGCCUCAGCCUCCCAGAGUGUUAGGAUUACAGGCAUGAGCCACUGCACCCAGCCAUCUCAUUCACUUAAAUUAUUUAUUGAGUGACUUACAUGCAAAAAGCUGUGUAAAAUGCUGGUACCAGGCACUUUGGAUUUUGUGGCUAAUAGUGAUAAUAAUGACAAUUUCUAACAUUUAUUAUAUGUCAGGUUCCAAGCUAAAUGGUUUACAUGCAUUGUCACAUUUAAACUCACAGCAAUCCUGUGAGAUAGAAAGGUGCUGUUCUUCUCAUUUAAUAGGAGGAAUCAGACUGGGAGUUAGUUAACGUAGUUCAAGGUUACACUGGAAUUUUCCUAGUCUGUCUCUAGGUGGGUGGAGUUGGGCAUGAAUGCUUGCUGAUCUGGACCCCUUGAGUUUCCGCCAGUGGGAAGAGACCCUGUGUUUUACGUGGUUCUCUUGGGUUUGGUCCCAGAGCCACCAGUCUUCAGCUGUCUACUCUUGUUGUUCUGACUCUGGCUUAUGGUUGGUUUUCAUGAACCUCGGUUAGGAGUGUCAGCAGAAAUCUUGGACUCUGACCAUACCUACUCUGUAUUUUCCAUAGUUAUCCAGAAGCUGCUUCCUUCCCAUUGAAAAAUAACCUGGUUGUGGGCCCAAAGCUGUAUUAGUCAGGACAACAGAAUCCAAACAGGGACUGGCUUAAUAAAAAAAAUGAAACUUUAUUGGUUCAGGUUACAAACACAUCUAGGGGUAGCUCUCAUUUCGGUGUCUGUGGAUACAGGCACUCAGUUUCUGCCUCUCCAUGGCUCAGUUUUGCUGCCUUUUGCUACAGCCUCAUUCAUGGGGUUGGUGGGGGCUGUCUCCAAAUAGUGGUGAGAUGGCUGCCCGCAGUUCCAGACUCAUAUCCUGCCACUUAAGCAAACCCCAAGGAAAGACAGUUUUCCAUUCCCAAAGAUUCCAGCAAAAGUUCCAGGCUUUAAGCUCCAUGACUAGUUCAGAUUGUGUGCCCCAUCCCUGAAAUGAAUCACUGUGGCACGACUGGGUCACAUCCAAUCUCUGGGUCUGGAGGUGUGGGGUCACCCUCCCUGGAACUACAUAUAUCCAGAAUGGGGAAGGAGUUGUUGCCAAAAGGAAAUUUAAUGUGUUAUUUAUUAUCCAGAAGGGAACAAAUGCCAGACAGGCAAAACCAACACCCAUUCUCUCUGUCAUCCCAUUUAGUUAGUUAUUUAUUUUUAUUUGUAUUUUUUUGAGACAAAGUCUCGCCCUGCUGCCCAGGCUGGAGUGCAGCAGCACAAUCUCGGCUCACUGCAACCUCCACCUCCCUGGUUUAAGCCAUUCUGGUGCCUCAGCCUCCCGAAUAGCUGGGAUUACAGCCACACCCCACCAUGCCAGGCUAAUUUUUGUAUUUUUAGUAGAGAUGGGUUUUCACCAGGUUGGUCAGGCUUGUCUUGAACUCCUGACCUCAGGUGAUCCACCCGCCUCGGCCUCUCAAAGUGUUGGGAUUACAUGUGUGAGCCACCAUGCCCGGCUAUCAUCCCAUUUAUAACUACCAACAGGAUUUUCCAAAGAACAGAGUUUGACAAAAUGAGAGGCAAACAGUACGAUAUUUUUUUUUCUAUAUAUUUUUCUUCCUUUUGGUGGGAAGGAGCUCCGAACUAUCUCUGGAGUUCAACCCGAAAGAUAGGCCAUAAGUGAAUGUACAGAAGGGUCUUUGCAGAAGAUAGAUGAUUUUGACAGGUAUUACAUACGCUUAGGCAAACACCCACUGGCCCUCCUGAGUGGAUGUUCUAGAAGCCAAUAAUAAAAGCCUCACAUGGAACAAGUAUAACAGCAGCAGGGUGAACUUCAAAGCCAUUGACUUGGUUUUAAUUCCAGUCUGUCCAUUUUAAUGUCCAGAGAAACAAAUCAUGUUUACAGGAACAUUUAUUACCCUAUAUGCUAAUAGGUAAAAGCCUAGUCUAUGCAAAGACGAGCUGUUUAUAUGGCAGUUCCCACUGGGAUUCAGAAGUGUAUUCAGUGUGCACAAUGCCCAAGAAAAACACUGUAAUAAAUCAUAAGAGGCAAAAAGUAGAGCUUAAAAACAACUUAACAAAAACACAUAAAAGUGACUUAACUCCCUGUGCUCUGUAAUUCUACAGUAGUUUUGUACCAUUACCAUUUUAAGGAAAAUAAGCAGAAUGACAACCAAACAGCUGGCUUUCUCUCGUAUUGUAAUCCAUACUCAUGGCCAGCCCCAAAAUGCUUGUUCAGUGAGCAUUAUCCCACUGAAGCGGGGGGUUCCCAGUGUGAAAAACAUAGGCUAUUUUCUCUAACCUGAGGCAUUUCUUUUUCUUUUUCUUUUCUAAUUGAUUUUAUUUUAUUUUAUUUUUAUUUAUUUAUUUUUUUUGAGACAGUCUCGCUCUGUUGCCCAGGCUGGAGUGCAGUGGCAUGAUCUCGCUCACUGCAACCUCCGCCUCCUAGAUUCAAGCAAUUCUCCUGCCUCAGCCUCCUGAGUAGCUGGGACUACAGGGACAUGCCACUACACCCAGCUCAUUUUUGUACUUUUAGUAGAGACGGGGUUUUACCAUGUUGGCCAGGCUGGUCUCAAACUCCUGGCCUCAUGUGAUCCACCCACCUUGGCCUCCCAAAGUGCUGGGAUUACAGGCGUGAGCCACUGCAGCCAGCCUAAUUUUUUUUCUUUUCUUUUCUUUUCUUUUUUUUUUUUUUUUUUUGUGAAGGAGUCUUGCUCUGUUGCCCAGACUAGAGUGCAGUGGUGCGAUCUCAGCUCACUGCACCCUCUGCCUCCCAGGUUCAUGUGAUUCUCCUGCCUCAGCCUCCUAAGUAGCUGGGAUUACAGGUGCCCGCCACCACACCCAGCUAAUUUGUGUAUUUUUAGUAGUUGAUAGGGUUUCACCAUGUUGGCCAGGAUGGUCUCGAACUUCUGACCUGAAGUGAUUCACCGGCCUCGGCCUUCCAAAGUGCUGGAUUACAGGCAUGAGCCACCGCACCCAGCUAAUUUUUGUAUUUUUAGUAGAGACAGGGCUUCACUAUGUUGGCCAGGCUGGUUUUCCUGAGAUGGGGUCUCACUCUGUCACCCAGGCUGGAGUGCAGUGGUGCAAUCACGGCUUAUUGCAUCCUCAUGCUCCUUGGCUCAAGCAGUCUCUCACCUAGGUCUCCUGAAUAGCUGGGACCACAGGCACGCACCACCAUGCCCAGCUAAUUUAAAAAAUUUUUUUUUUUUUUUUUUUUUGGAGAUGGGAUCUCGCUAUAUUGCUCAGGCUGGUCUCGAACUCCUGGCCUCAAGUGAUCCUCCUGCUCCAGUCUCCCAAACUGUUGGGAUUACAGGAAUGAGUCACUAACACCCAGCCUAACCCGAGGCAUUUCUUCCCAAAGCCCUGCUUGCUCCUAAAUUUCAAAACACCCUCUAGAAAUACAUGCCCAAAGAGGGGACUAUAUUCCUUUUCUGAGAUCUCAGGGGGAGGGUUGAGUGGGGACUGUUUUGUGAAGGGUGGACAGCUCUGACCUGCAGUUCUUUGUGGUCUUUGGUGCCAAACAUCAAGCCAUGUGACUUAGUGGCUCACUCCAUCCCAAGAGUAGAAGGGUUAAAAGCUUGAAAAGCUGCUGGUGGCCCAUGUGGCAUGUAUGAGUAGGAUUUAUGGCCACUGCAGCCAUACUGUGGUGUGCAUACAGUGUGCAGAGGUUGAGCCCAGAGGGAAAAACCUGGAUGGAAACACUUGCUGGAGUGGCAUCACUUUUCACCAUGAGUCCUUAUGAAUGCCACAGCCUAGCAGGUAGAGUACGUGUUGACUAAUCAGGCAUCAGUCUCUCCAUUUCUGCUGCUGGGGGACAAUCUUUUUCUUGGCAUUUCAGGGUCUCAGUUACUUCUGCAUUAAAUUGUAUUCUCUUUUGGCUAAAUGUUUGCAAAAUCAGGGUUCUCUCUCUAAUUCGGGGUCCCUUGCCUUUCCUUUCCCUGGGAGUGAUCUUCUGUUUGGUGGGCAUGGGGCUCAUCUCUUGUUUCAGCCUCGUGGGAGAGCCAUCCAUGUUGCAUGCUGUCCUUUGACCUUGUGGUGAUGUCCACUGAGACGUCUGUCAUGCACUUGCCUGUGUCCCCAUCCUCACAGGCUGACAUCAGUGGCUCUGGGUGUUAGAUCCUUGCACUGUGACCCAGUCCUCCUGUGGAUUUCUCCAACAGCACAGUUUUGGGCUCAGGAACACAGUCCUUUUCCCCACCCUGCACUUUAGAAGGGUGCGCACACUGAGACCCCUCUCAGCUGUAGCUCCCCAACUCCUCAGGUGUUAUGGCCUGUGUGGGGCUUCCAAGAGGACCUUAUUUGUAUAAGGCACUUCCUCUAGGCAUGUCUCGAAGGCUGUCUCUACAAGGAGAAUAAAGACCUGGAUAUUUCUUAGAGACCUCUGUGUCUCUAAUACAGUCCUACCAGCUCUUUCUCUUUUUCUGCCCCUCAUGUCUUGGUUGGAAGAUCUGGCAAAUUGAGAGUUUUUUUAAGCUCAAGGACUUAGGUUUUCUAAAUGCUACUUUGAAAAUUAAAGCUCAGUGGCAACUUAUUUAUCCUAAACUAUGUCUGAUCCCCCUGAGGCAAUGCAUUUGGAAGGAAGGGCCUGGAAGGCAGAGAAUUGGAAAAAAAGGCACUGUGAAAGGUCAGUCUCUGUGCUUUUAGUUUGAGUCCAGGCUCUUCUUUCACAUCUAAUCUCAUUUUGUGCAUAAAACUGAAGGAGCAAUUUGAAACCUGGUUUUAAUCUGGUCACACACUAUUGUGCAGGGCGUCCUUGGGCACGUCAUCUGCCCUCUGAGUUGGCUUCAUCUAAAACAUGACAGGUUUGAAUUCCAUGGUGAUAAAAAUCACCAAAAUUGCAAAGAUUCAAAGAAUCUGUUCUUGGGAUAGCUUUGCCAUUAGGCAUUUAUAUCUUGUUCAAUAUUUAAUGCCUAGGUAGAUAUUUAUUAUCUAUGUUUCCCACAAAUAGCUGAACAAAGGCAGCAUAGUCUGGGAUGGCAGGAAUUACCUAGUCUGGGCCAGGGUCUGGUCUUUGAAGGGCUAGCUAUGUGGUUGUGGGGAGGUUGCAUCAUCUUUCUGGGCCUUUGGAGGAUCCCUAAGAUUUCAUCCACCUCUAAAUUCUGUUACUCUGACUUUUAUGAUCUUUUAUCACACUACACCAAGAGGCAGAUCUUCAUUGUGUUAAAAAUUUAUGUUUAGGGUCCACAUUUUGCCUCUGCACUAUUUUUAGUUUUCAGGCAGGGCCAUAUAACUGAGACUUCAAGACAGCUCUUGGCCAGGUGCAGUGUCUCACGGCUGUAAUCCCAGCACUUUGGGAGGCUGAGACAGGAGGAUCACUUGAGCCCAGGAGUUUGAGACCAGCCUGGACUACAUAGUAAGACCCCUGACUAUACAAAAAAUAAACAAAAUUAGUUGGGUGUGGUGGCAUGCACCUGUGGUCCAGCUACUUGGGAAGCUGAGGUGGGAGGAUCACUUGAGCCUGGGAGGUUGAGGCUGCAGUGAGCCAAGAUCACGUCACUGGGUGACAGAGCAAGACCUUGCCUCACAGAAAAAAAGAAAAAGAAAAUGUAUAGUUUUUGCUGAAUCAAGAACCUAAAGAGGCAAGAAUCUGUUGUCAGCUGGGCACAGUGGCUCAUCCUUAUAAUCUCAGCACUUUGGGAGGCCAAGGCAGGAAGAUCACCUGAGCUCAGGAGUUCAAGACCAGCCUGGCCAACAUGGUGAAAACCUGUCUCUACUAAAAAUACAAAAAUUAGCUGGGCAUGGUGGCAGGUGCCUGUUGUAAUCCCAGCUACUUGGGAGACUGAGACACGAGAAUUGCUUGAACCCGGGAGGCAGAGGUUGCAGUGAGCCGAGAUCGUGCCACUGCACUCCAACCUGGGUGACAGAGCAAGACUCCAUCUCAAAAAAAAAAAAAAAAAUUCUGUUAUCUGCUGUCUUUUGUUUGAGGUCUGCUGGAACUGCAUGUGCUGUCUCACAGAUAGCUGAGGUUGGGAAUGUGUGCACGAUAUUUGGAUAUGCUUGCUUCUUAGACUCUGACAUGCUUAAAUGAGGAAGUGCUGCAUACAGAUGUCAGAGACACACACCCACUUCUCAUUUCAGAACCUAAAGCAUAGGACAAGUUGCUUUCUACAGAUAAACACAGAGAUCCGGAAGUAAAAUCUCACACCUAAGCCCUACACUGUCUCUGUUGUAUCAACAAAUACAAUAUAAACGGAAGCCAAAUCACAAGCAGGAUUCAGUGAGAGGUCAGAAGCAAAUGGUAGUAAUAUGAUGGGAUGGCAUUCAGGCAGGAUUAUUCUUUCAAAGCCUAUUUAACAUUUUUAUUCGUUCAGAACAUCUACAUGCAAAGCAAUAUUUCUGAUAAACAGGAGACUUUUGAAUGAAUGAUUUUUGAGUUCAGUGUUCAUUGAAAUGAUGUAUGCAGAAAAAUGUGGACUUCUCUGUACCCAGGAAUGGCCUGCACACCUCUUCCGUAAUGUGUAUUGGUGGUUCUGCACAUGAGGGUAAUGGAGAAUGGGAAAAAAGCAACUGUUCAUGUUUCGUACCUGCAUGUUGACAUUGCUUUUUGGUGAGGAGAGAAGCCAGAUGGUGAUGGACAAAUGGGGUGCUUGAGGCCUAGGGUCAGGGCAGGUCUAUGUGGAUGCAUUCCCCACCAGUCUGGUCCAUGAAUGCUUUCUUAGACUCAAAUCUUUGCACUUCUUCAUGAUCUGACUCCUCUCACCUGCUUUCUAACAAGGACACUCCUUUGUUGGGCAACCCUACUGUUACUGUUUGUGCAUUUCCACCUCUGAAGGAAGGUUCCUGUCUGUUCUUAUAAGAGGGCCAUGUCCCUUUCACAUAUGGAAAAAGUAGGAGAGGUGGAAAUAGAGGAGUGAGAAGACAGAUGUAGUAUAUUCAGGAAGUUUCUGACUUUCUCCGUUUUGUUUUUUUUUUUAGUCAGAGUCUCACUCUGUCACCCAGGCUGGAGUGCAGUGGUGCAAUCUCAGCUCACUGCAACCUCCACCUCCAGGGUUCAAGCGAUUCUCCUGCCUCAGCCUCCCGAGUAGCUGGGAUUACAGGCAUGUGCCACCAUGCCUGGCUAAUUUUUGUAUUUUUAGUAGAGACAGGGUUUCACCAUGUUGGCCAGGAUGGUCUCAACCUCCUCACCUCAAGCGAUCCACCCCCCUUGGCCUCCCAAAGUGCUGGAUUACAGGUGUUUACAAGUGUGAGCCAUCACACCGGGCCAGGAAGUUUCUGACUUUCUGACAAUUAGUUUGAGAAGAAGACAAAAUGACUCUUCUCUCUUUGGUCAUGGAUCACUUACUGAAGUGUCCCAGUAAUUUCUCAAUAGAAAGUAAAUCACCUACUGCCCUCCACUUCCAUGCCCAUGGAAUAUAUUCCUUUUAAAAUUUUUAAGAGAUGAGGUUUCACUAUGUUGCCCAUGCUGGUCUUGAACUCUGGGCCUCAAGCAGUCCUCCCUCCUCAGCCUUCCAAAGUGCUGGGAUUACAGGCAUAAACCACCAUGUCUGGCCUGGAAUAUAUUCUUGAUCAAGCCAUUUGUGGAAUGGUUUAAACUCAGAUGUAUCGCUGUUUUCUGUAAGACUUUUAAAAAAUAUUAAAAUAACUUUUUCUGACUUUUUCUCAUAAAAGAAAUUUAUACUCACUGUUUAAAAAAUCAGAAAACAUAGGGAAAAAUUACAAAAGGAAGUAGAAGUUAUUCUUUAUCUCCUCACUGGUAGAUAGUAAUUGUUCAAAUUUUGUAUAUAUUCUUUUUACUUAAUAUUUUUUUAAUUUUAAAUUGUAGUAGAGAUGGGGUCUUACUGUGUUGCCCAAGCUGGUCUUGAACUCCUGACUUCAAAUAGUCCUCCUGCCUCAGCCUCCCAAAGUGUUAGGAUUACAGGCAUGAACCACCUCAGCCAGCCCAUAUUUUGUGGGCAACAGGAUUUUUUUCUCUCCAUAUAUAUUCACACACUUAUGCAGCUGAUCAUACAUUGUUCUUCUCAGUUAGCAGUGUAUGGCUAACAUCUUUCCAUUUCAUUAUAUAACAGUCUGGUACCUUUUUCACAGGUACAUAUUAGUCCCCUGUAAGGAUAUACUUUAUGUAUUAAACCAGCCCUUUAUUUUUGAGCAUUUAAGUUACCACCUUUUAGCUCUCAUAAGCAAUGCUGGUAUCCCUUUUCAUGUCUCUAUCUAAUUAUUAUCAAAUUAAUUGCCAAAAAUAAUCUGCAGGAGAAUAUUGCCAGAUGGCCCUGGAUUAAUUAUAAAUCCCACCAGUGUGGUAGAGGGCCUGUUUCCUCAUGCCUCCACCAGUGGUCGGUAUGAACAGAUUUUUUAACGUUUUCACUAGCCUCACAGAUAUCUUGCUGGUGUCUUAAUUGGCAUGUUUUGAUUACUUGUGAGAUUGAAUAUAUUUUUGUAUGAAAUAUUAAAUAUUUUCGUAUUUAUUUCUUGGUCAUUAGUAUUUUAUUUAUGUAUUUAUUUAUUUAUUUAUUUUGAGGCAGCGUCUGGCUCUGUUACCCAGACUGGAGUGCAGUGACACAAUCUCAGCUUACUGCAACCUCUGUCUCACUGGUUCAAGUGAUCCUCCCACCUGAGUAGCUGGGACUGUAGGUGUGCACCACACAGCCUGGAUAAUAUUUGCAUUUUUAGUAGAGAUGAGGUUUCGCCAUGUUACCCAGGCUGGUCUCAAACUCCUGGGCUCGAGCAAUCUGCCUGCCUCGACUUCCCAAAGUGCUGAGAUUACAGGCAUGAACCACCACGUCUGGCCAGUAUUUCUUACUUUAUAAAUUAUUUAUUUGCAUCCUUGCCCACUUUUAUUAAGUUGGGCUGUUCCUUUUUGAUUUGCAAGUCCUUUCUGUGUUACAGAUUUUAACAUUUUGUCAUAUGCUUCAAUUUCUUUUAAUUUAUUUUGAUUCUUAAAUUUUUCUACUUAUAUAUAUUUUUAACAUGCAGAAGUUUAACAUUUUUACGUAUUCAAAACUAUCCUUCAAGUAGGAUUUUGCUUUUGGUUUCAUGUUUAGAAAGUCUCUAUUCCAGGAUUCUAAAAAUGCUCACCUAUAUUUUAUCGUUAUGGCUUUAUUUUUUACAUUUACAUUUAUAGCCCAUUUGGAAAUCAUUUGAGUGAAAAGUAUGAGGUAGGGACUAAGAUUUAAUUUUUUUCUUUUACCUGACAUCUAAGCCACUUACUGAAUUAAACAUUUUCUGUUUCACUGAUUUGAAAUACCCCAUUUACCAUGUACAGAAUCCCUAUAGAUUCUUAAGGUUAUUUUCAGACCCUACUCUGUUCCACUGAUUUGUCUUUUCCUGUGCUGCUAUCUCACUAUCUUAAUUAUUACAGCUUUAAUAAUCCAUUUUAAUAACUAGUAUUGCAAGUGCUCACUUAUUAUUUGUUCUUCCGCAAAAUUUUCUUGGCAAGUUGGGCAUGUUUAUUCUUCCAAAUGAACUUCAGAAAUAACUUUGUCAAGUUCUAGAAAAAGAAAUUCUUACGGUGUGUGUUAAUUCCGUAGAUGAAUUUGUACAGAAUUGCCAUAUUCACACCAUUGAGCCUUACCAUCCAAAGGCAUGGCAAGCAUUUUGUUUGUUCAUUUUCUUUUAUAUUGAGGCUUUAUGCAUUUCUUCACCAAGGUCCUGAACUUUUAUUGUUAGGCUUAUUCUGACUGGUUAUGGCUGGCAUAUAAGAAAGCCAGUGCUCUUUUGUACAGUUACAUCUGUGAAUGCACCUUUAAUUUAGAUUAGAUUUUUCAGUUAUCUUGAAUUUUUUCAAAGAGAAAGUUGUGUCAACUGCAAAUAAUUCUUAUUUUAUAACCCCCCCUUCUUCUCACCAUUUACUUCUUAUUUUAUCUAAUUGCACUCAUUAGUAUUUCCUGGAAAAUGUUAAAUUAUAGCAAUGGGAGCGGGUGUCCAUUUAUGCUUUGGGCUAGACUUUAGUAGUUAUACUACCUUUAUUUUACUGUUGACCUUGCAGAGGAAAGGUUUCAGAGCUGAUCUUUUAUACUGCUGAGGAAUUAUUUUAUUUUCCUGAAAGCUUUUAUUAGGGAUGGUUGUUCAAUUUUAUCAUAUACUAUUUUGUACACGAUAAGAGUGUGUAUAUGAUAUUAAAUGAUACUAAAUGUGUGUGUGUGUGUGUGUGUAUGAGCUGUUAAAUGGGGGAAUAAUAUCAGUAUGAUUUAAUAAUAUCAAAUUGUCCUUUUUAAAAUUACAUUUCUUUUGUAGAGUUGGGGUGUUACUGUGUUGCCCAGAUUGGUUUUGAUCUCCUGGGCUCAAGCAGUCCUCCCAUCUCAGCCUCCCAAAGUGCUGGGAUUACAGGCGUGAGCUACCACAGCCAGCCCAAAUUCUUCUUUUAUCUAUGGAAUCCUAGUGCUGUUUUUGCAAUCAGAAACCACUCUUUUUUUUUUUUUUUUUUUUGAGACAGGGUCUCAGUCUCACUCUCACCCAGGCUGCAGUGCAGUGGCACAAUCAUAGCUCACUGCAGCCUCAACCUUUGGGCUCAAGCAAUCUUCCCGCCUCAGCCUCCCAAGUAUCUGGGACCACAGGCAAGCACCACUACGCCUGGCUAAUUUGUUGUAUUUUUGGUAGAGAUGGGGUUUCACCACAUUGCCCAGGCUGGUCUUGAACUUCUGUGUUCAAGUGAUCCAUCUUGAGCGGCUGAGCAUUAUUUUUCUUCUAGAAGAAGUCUUGAUUUUCUACAUCUGCAAGAAACUUUAAUUCUUAAUUGGCACUGUUUGAGCUCUGUUCUGAAAAGGAGGCCUAAAUCCCUUAGAUUUGUUUUUUACCAGAUUGGUUUACUUUUGCUAGAUGCAAUGGAAGCUUUUGAUUUUGUAUUUUUGACUUUCCUGUCUCCAUUAAAGUUAGACCCAUCCCUGGACUUGGGUGGGGCAGGGAAGAUGAGAAGAACCAGGUAGGAAAGAGACGACAUUCAGAUGGCAGGCCUCCCUGACCCCAGGCAGGACUUCAGUGGCAGCCUGGACAGCUCAGGGAGUCUGGGGAGGGUUGCCUAUGUCCAGUGAGCAAGCUUGGCACUUGGCAAGUACCCGGUCUCUGUCUUCUCUAUGGAGAACUCACCUCCAUUCGUUUCAGGACUGCCCACAAAAAAAUGGGCUUCAUUUGGCAUCAUCAACUAAUCAGCAGUCGAGGAGGCUCCCUCUCAAAAGCAGCAAGUGUCCUUUUGUGCUAAGUAGGCAAGCACAUAGCCAGGGGGCCCCAGUCCACUGUUCUUGCACCCUCCGUAGGCCCAGGAGAAUUCUGGAGGCCUGAUGACUGUCUCUGCAAAGGAAGUCUUUUACACAUUGUGCGCAGUGUUCAGUAGCUUUUUUGAUCACAUUUAUUUUAUACUCUGAGCUGAGUCAGUCAGCAAGAGGUGCUUAGCUUGUUAC